UGCCCUCAUUACGUGAACCGCGCACGCGGGGAGCGGACGGGGGUUGCAGAGAAUCGGGGGUAGCGACUGUUUACCAAAAACACAGCGCUGUGCGAAGUCGCAAGACGACGUAUACGGCGUGACGCCUGCCCGGUGCUGGAAGGUUAAGAGGAGGAGUCAGCGCAAGCAAAGCUCCGAAUCGAAGCCCCAGUAAACGGCGGCCGUAACAAUAACGGUCCUAAGGUAGCGAAAUUCCUUGUCGGGUAAGUUCCGACCUGCACGAAUGGCGUAACGACUUCCCCACUGUCUCGGGCAGGGGACUCAGCGAAGUAGCACUGGGGGUGAAGAUACCCUCUACCCACGGCAGGACGGAGAGACCCCGUGAACCUUCACUACAGUUUGACACUGAUUGACGAAAUUUUCUGCGUAGUCUAGGUGGGACGCUUUGAAGCCGGGAUUCUGGUCUCGGUGGAGCGGCAAUAUGAAAAACCACCUGAAAAUUUUGGACAAUCUAACCUACACCCU
rnacentral:rRNA from 1 species